UGGGGAAUUUUGGACAAUGGGCGCAAGCCUGAUCCAGCCAUGCCGCGUGCGGGAAGAAGGCCUUCGGGUUGUAAACCGCUUUUGUCAGGGAAGAAAUCUUCUGAGUUAAUACCUCGGGAGGAUGACGGUACCUGAAGAAUAAGCACCGGCUAACUACGUGCCAGCAGCCGCGGUAAUACGUAGGGUGCAAGCGUUAAUCGGAAUUACUGGGCGUAAAGCGUGCGCAGGCGGUUUUGUAAGACAGAGGUGAAAUCCCCGGGCUCAACCUGGGAACUGCCUUUGUGACUGCAAGGCUUGAGUGCGGCAGAGGGGGAUGGAAUUCCGCGUGUAGCAGUGAAAUGCGUAGAUAUGCGGAGGAACACCGAUGGCGAAGGCAAUCCCUUGGGCCUGCACUGACGCUCAUGCACGAAAGCGUGGGGAGCAAACAGGAUUAGAUACCCUGGUAGUCCACGCCCUAAACGAUGUCAACUGGUUGUUGGGAAGGUUCCUUCUCAGUAACGUAGCUAACGCNUGAAGUUGACCGCCUGGGGAGUACGGCCGCAAGGUU
rnacentral:rRNA from 1 species